GAUGAACGCUGGCGGCGUGCCUAAUACAUGCAAGUCGAGCGAACGGACGAGAAGCUUGCUUCUCUGAUGUUAGCGGCGGACGGGUGAGUAACACGUGGAUAACCUACCUAUAAGACUGGGAUAAAUUCGGGAAACCGGAGCUAAUACCGGAUAAUAUUUUGAACCGCAUGGUUCAAAAGUGAAAGACGGUCUUGCUGUCACUUAUAGAUGGAUCCGCGCUGCAUUAGCUAGUUAGUAAGGUAACGGCUUACCAAGGCAACGAUGCAUAGCCGACCUGAGAGGGUGAUCGGCCACACUGGAACUGAGACACGGUCCAGACUCCUACGGGAGGCAGCAGUAGGGAAUCUUCCGCAAUGGGCGAAAGCCUGACGGAGCAACGCCGCGUGAGUGAUGAAGGUCUUCGGAUCGUAAAACUCUGUUAUUAGGGAAGAACAUAUGUGUAAGUAACUGUGCACAUCUUGACGGUACCUAAUCAGAAAGCCACGGCUAACUACGUG
rnacentral:rRNA from 1 species